rnacentral:tRNA from 1 species
GCGGGCGUAGCUCAGGGGUAGAGCGCAACCUUGCCAAGGUUGAUGUCGUGGGUUCGAAUCCCAUCCGCGGCCGCCGCA